GCUUACAACCAUAUCACGUUGAGAGCACUGGUUCUCGUCCGAUCACUGAAGUUAAGCAACGUCGAGCUUAGUGAGUACUGAGAUGGAUGACCGCUUGGGAAACCUAGGUGCUGUAGGCG
rnacentral:rRNA from 1 species